ACCACAAUGACAUUAAACCAACAGAACAGAAGUUAUUUGGCAACCACUUCGAGUCAAGCCCUGAUGCUACAAUUUACCUCAACGAUAUUAAACCAACUGAACAGAAGUUAUUUGGCAACCACUUCGAGUCAAGCCCGGACGCUACAAUUUACCACAACGAUAUUAAACCAACUGAACAGAAGUUAUUUGGCAACCACUUCGAGUCAAGCCCGGAUGCUACAAUUUACCACAACGAUAUUAAACCAGGUGAACAGAAGUUCUUUGGCAACCACUUCGAGUCAAGCCCGGAUGCUACAAUUUACCACAACGAUAUUAAACCAAUUGAAAUGAUUAAAUCUUUUGUUAGCAAAUUCUUGUCAAACCCUGAUGCUACAAUUUAUCAUGAGUAACCAGACUCUGCUUUCAAUCGUGUGGAGAGAG
rnacentral:lncRNA from 1 species